rnacentral:rRNA from 1 species
ACCAGACUCCUACGGGAGGCAGCAGUGGGGAAUAUUGCACAAUGGGGGGAACCCUGAUGCAGCGACGCCGCGUGGGUGAAGAAGUAUUUCGGUAUGUAAAGCCCUAUCAGCAGGGAAGAAAAUGACGGUACCUGAUUAAGAAGCCCCGGCUAACUACGUGCCAGCAGCCGCGGUAAUACGUAGGGGGCAAGCGUUAUCCGGAAUUACUGGGUGUAAAGGGAGCGUAGACGGUGAAGUAAGUCUGGAGUGAAAGGCGGGGGCCCAACCCCCGGACUGCUCUGGAAACUAUUUGACUGGAGUGCAGGAGAGGUAAGCGGAAUUCCUAGUGUAGCGGUGAAAUGCGUAGAUAUUAGGAGGAACACCAGUGGCGAAGGCGGCUUACUGGACUGUAACUGACGUUGAGGCUCGAAAGCGUGGGGAGCAAACAGGAUUAGAUACCCGAGUA